rnacentral:rRNA from 1 species
ACUCCCAAACCCCUGUGAACAUACCUUAAUGUUGCCUCGGCGGAUCAGCCCGCGCCCCGUAAAACGGGACGGCCCGCCAGAGGACCCAAACUCUAAUGUUUCUUAUUGUAACUUCUGAGUAAAACAAACAAAUAAAUCAAAACUUUCAACAACGGAUCUCUUGGUUCUGGCAUCGAUGAAGAACGCAGCAAAAUGCGAUAAGUAAUGUGAAUUGCAGAAUUCAGUGAAUCAUCGAAUCUUUGAACGCACAUUGCGCCCGCUGGUAUUCCGGCGGGCAUGCCUGUUCGAGCGUCAUUUCAACCCUCAAGCCCUCGGGUUUGGUGUUGGGGAUCGGCUCUGCCUUCUGGCGGUGCCGCCCCCGAAAUACAUUGGCGGUCUCGCUGCAGCCUCCAUUGCGUAGUAGCUAACACCUCGCAACUGGAACGCGGCGCGGCCAUGCCGUAAAACCCCAACUUCUGAAUGUUGACCUCGGAUCAGGUAGGAAUACCCGCUGAACUUAAGCAUAUCAAUAAGCGGAGGAA